UUAAGCGACUAAGCGUACACGGUGGAUGCCCUGGCAGUCAGAGGCGAUGAAGGACGUGCUAAUCUGCGAUAAGCGUCGGUAAGGUGAUAUGAACCGUUAUAACCGGCGAUUUCCGAAUGGGGAAACCCAGUGUGUUUCGACACACUAUCAUUAACUGAAUCCAUAGGUUAAUGAGGCGAACCGGGGGAACUGAAACAUCUAAGUACCCCGAGGAAAAGAAAUCAACCGAGAUUCCCCCAGUAGCGGCGAGCGAACGGGGAGCAGCCCAGAGUCUGAAUCAGUGUGUGUGUUAGUGGAAGCGUCUGGAAAGGCGCGCGAUACAGGGUGACAGCCCCGUACACAAAAAUGCACAUAUUGUGAGCUCGAUGAGUAGGGCGGGACACGUGGUAUCCUGUCUGAAUAUGGGGGGACCAUCCUCCAAGGCUAAAUACUCCUGACUGACCGAUAGUGAACCAGUACCGUGAGGGAAAGGCGAAAAGAACCCCGGCGAGGGGAGUGAAAAAGAACCUGAAACCGUGUACGUACAAGCAGUGGGAGCACGCUUCGGCGUGUGACUGCGUACCUUUUGUAUAAUGGGUCAGCGACUUAUAUUCUGUAGCAAGGUUAACCGAAUAGGGGAGCCGAAGGGAAACCGAGUCUUAACUGGGCGUUAAGUUGCAGGGUAUAGACCCGAAACCCGGUGAUCUAGCCAUGGGCAGGUUGAAGGUUGGGUAACACUAACUGGAGGACCGAACCGACUAAUGUUGAAAAAUUAGCGGAUGACUUGUGGCUGGGGGUGAAAGGCCAAUCAAACCGGGAGAUAGCUGGUUCUCCCCGAAAGCUAUUUAGGUAGCGCCUCGUGAAUUCAUCUCCGGGGGUAGAGCACUGUUUCGGCAAGGGGGUCAUCCCGACUUACCAACCCGAUGCAAACUGCGAAUACCGGAGAAUGUUAUCACGGGAGACACACGGCGGGUGCUAACGUCCGUCGUGAAGAGGGAAACAACCCAGACCGCCAGCUAAGGUCCCAAAGUCAUGGUUAAGUGGGAAACGAUGUGGGAAGGCCCAGACAGCCAGGAUGUUGGCUUAGAAGCAGCCAUCAUUUAAAGAAAGCGUAAUAGCUCACUGGUCGAGUCGGCCUGCGCGGAAGAUGUAACGGGGCUAAACCAUGCACCGAAGCUGCGGCAGCGACGCUUAUGCGUUGUUGGGUAGGGGAGCGUUCUGUAAGCCUGUGAAGGUGUGCUGUGAGGCAUGCUGGAGGUAUCAGAAGUGCGAAUGCUGACAUAAGUAACGAUAAAGCGGGUGAAAAGCCCGCUCGCCGGAAGACCAAGGGUUCCUGUCCAACGUUAAUCGGGGCAGGGUGAGUCGACCCCUAAGGCGAGGCCGAAAGGCGUAGUCGAUGGGAAACAGGUUAAUAUUCCUGUACUUGGUGUUACUGCGAAGGGGGGACGGAGAAGGCUAUGUUGGCCGGGCGACGGUUGUCCCGGUUUAAGCGUGUAGGCUGGUUUUCCAGGCAAAUCCGGAAAAUCAAGGCUGAGGCGUGAUGACGAGGCACUACGGUGCUGAAGCAACAAAUGCCCUGCUUCCAGGAAAAGCCUCUAAGCAUCAGGUAACAUCAAAUCGUACCCCAAACCGACACAGGUGGUCAGGUAGAGAAUACCAAGGCGCUUGAGAGAACUCGGGUGAAGGAACUAGGCAAAAUGGUGCCGUAACUUCGGGAGAAGGCACGCUGAUAUGUAGGUGAAGCGACUUGCUCGUGGAGCUGAAAUCAGUCGAAGAUACCAGCUGGCUGCAACUGUUUAUUAAAAACACAGCACUGUGCAAACACGAAAGUGGACGUAUACGGUGUGACGCCUGCCCGGUGCCGGAAGGUUAAUUGAUGGGGUUAGCGGUAACGCGAAGCUCUUGAUCGAAGCCCCGGUAAACGGCGGCCGUAACUAUAACGGUCCUAAGGUAGCGAAAUUCCUUGUCGGGUAAGUUCCGACCUGCACGAAUGGCGUAAUGAUGGCCAGGCUGUCUCCACCCGAGACUCAGUGAAAUUGAACUCGCUGUGAAGAUGCAGUGUACCCGCGGCAAGACGGAAAGACCCCGUGAACCUUUACUAUAGCUUGACACUGAACAUUGAGCCUUGAUGUGUAGGAUAGGUGGGAGGCUUUGAAGUGUGGACGCCAGUCUGCAUGGAGCCGACCUUGAAAUACCACCCUUUAAUGUUUGAUGUUCUAACGUGGACCCGUGAUCCGGGUUGCGGACAGUGUCUGGUGGGUAGUUUGACUGGGGCGGUCUCCUCCUAAAGAGUAACGGAGGAGCACGAAGGUUGGCUAAUCCUGGUCGGACAUCAGGAGGUUAGUGCAAUGGCAUAAGCCAGCUUGACUGCGAGCGUGACGGCGCGAGCAGGUGCGAAAGCAGGUCAUAGUGAUCCGGUGGUUCUGAAUGGAAGGGCCAUCGCUCAACGGAUAAAAGGUACUCCGGGGAUAACAGGCUGAUACCGCCCAAGAGUUCAUAUCGACGGCGGUGUUUGGCACCUCGAUGUCGGCUCAUCACAUCCUGGGGCUGAAGUAGGUCCCAAGGGUAUGGCUGUUCGCCAUUUAAAGUGGUACGCGAGCUGGGUUUAGAACGUCGUGAGACAGUUCGGUCCCUAUCUGCCGUGGGCGCUGGAGAACUGAGGGGGGCUGCUCCUAGUACGAGAGGACCGGAGUGGACGCAUCACUGGUGUUCGGGUUGUCAUGCCAAUGGCACUGCCCGGUAGCUAAAUGCGGAAGAGAUAAGUGCUGAAAGCAUCUAAGCACGAAACUUGCCCCGAGAUGAGUUCUCCCUGACUCCUUGAGAGUCCUGAAGGAACGUUGAAGACGACGACGUUGAUAGGCCGGGUGUGUAAGCGCAGCGAUGCGUUGAGCUAACCGGUACUAAUGAACCGUGAGGCUUAACCUU
rnacentral:rRNA from 1 species